rnacentral:rRNA from 1 species
UAGGGAAUAUUGGUAAUCUGGGAAACCGGGAACCAGCAACGCCGCGUGCGCGAUGAAGGCCUUCGGGUUGUAAAGCGCUUUUUGAGAGGAUGAGGAAGGACAGUACUCUUAGAAUAAGCCUCGGCUAACUACGUGCCAGCAGCCGCGGUAAAACGUAGGAGGUGAGCGUUAUCCGGAAUUACUGGGCGUAAAGCGUACGUAGGCGGUUUGGUAAGUUGGAUGUGAAAUCCCCCUGCUCAACGGGGUGGACUGUGUCCAAAACUACCUAACUAGAGCAUAGUAGAGGCAAGUGGAAUUUGCGGUGUAGGAGUGACAUCCGUAGAUAUCGCAAGGAACACCAAUGGCGAAGGCAGCUUGCUGGGCUAUUGCUGACGCUCAGGUACGAAAGCGUGGGGAGCGAACG